rnacentral:rRNA from 1 species
UUUAAAUGGCCGCAGUAUACUAACUGUGCAAAGGUAGCAUAAUCAUUAGUCUUUUAAUUGAAGGCUGGUAUGAAUGGUUGGACGAGAUAUUAACUGUUUCAUAAAAAUUUAUAAUAGAAUUUUAUUUUUUAGUCAAAAAGCUAAAAUAUAUUUAAAAGACGAGAAGACCCUAUAAAUCUUUAUAUUUAAAUUAUUAUAAUUUUAUAGAUUUAUUUUGUUAUAAUAGUUGAUAAUAUUUUAUUGGGGUGAUAUUAAAAUUUAAUAAACUUUUAAUUGUUUAAAUCAUUAAUUUAUGAAUAAUUGAUCCGUUAUUAGCGAUUAAAAAAAUAAGUUACUUUAGGGAUAACAG